GACAUGCAGAGAACUUUCCAGAGAUGGAUUGGUGCCUUCGGGAACUCUGACACAGGUGCUGCAUGGCUGUCGUCAGCUCGUGUCGUGAGGUGUUGGGUUAAGUCCCGUAACGAGCGCAACCCUUGUCCUUAGUUACCAGCACGUUAUGGUGGGCACUCUAAGGAGACUGCCGGUGACAAACCGGAGGAAGGUGGGGAUGACGUCAAGUCAUCAUGGCCCUUACGGCCUGGGCUACACACGUGCUACAAUGGUCGGUACAAAGGGUUGCCAAGCCGCGAGGUGGAGCUAGUCCCAUAAAACCGAUCGUAGUCCGGAUCGCAGUCUGCAACUCGACUGCGUGAGGUCGGAAUCGCUAGUAAUCGCGAAUCAGAAUGUCACGGUGAAUACGUUCCCGGGCCUU
rnacentral:rRNA from 1 species